rnacentral:misc_RNA from 1 species
GUUGGGGCUUGCACAUGAGAUCUCUCAUUUCCUUUCAUUGCUUCUGAAGUGGUUUCUUUUACACUAUCUUACAAUUUAUGAUGCUUGUAAAGAUUCAAAUGUAAACUUAACCAUCCUUAUUCAUCAGUAUUUUGCUUGCUGUCCAUUUAAGUUUCUACUUAUGUUGUAUCUAGUGUUUUAAUAAAUGUCUUUGUUUGCUACUUUAAC